rnacentral:misc_RNA from 1 species
GUAUUUAUUCAUUUGACCGCCACCCGACCGCAAGGCCGGUCGACGAUCGUGAUACAUUCUAGACAUACAGUGUGUGUGAUGAUGAAAACAUAGAUCCUCUUUCGAGAGACCUACAGUGUGUGCACAGGUGUGAGAGUAAGAGAAAGGUCGACGAAAAGAAAGACGUGCACAGCGAACGCCAGCGACAGUCUCCCCUUCAUCUUCCCCCCCUCGAAAUUCGAUAAUGAUCCUUCCGCAGGUUCACCUACGGAAA